rnacentral:rRNA from 1 species
AUUGAACGCUGGCGGCAGGCCUAACACAUGCAAGUCGAGCGGAUGAAGGGAGCUUGCUCCUGGAUUCAGCGGCGGACGGGUGAGUAAUGCCUAGGAAUCUGCCUGGUAGUGGGGGAUAACGUCCGGAAACGGGCGCUAAUACCGCAUACGUCCUGAGGGAGAAAGUGGGGGAUCUUCGGACCUCACGCUAUCUGAUGAGCCUAGGUCGGAUUAGCUAGUUGGUGGGGUAAAGGCCUAUCAAGGCGACGAUCCGUAACUGGUCUGAGAGGAUGAUCAGUCACACUGGAACUGAGACACGGUCCAGACUCCUACGGGAGGCAGCAGUGGGGAAUAUUGGACAAUGGGCGAAAGCCUGAUCCAGCCAUGCCGCGUGUGUGAAGAAGGUCUUCGGAUUGUAAAGCACUUUAAGUUGGGAGGAAGGGCAGUAAGUUAAUACCUUGCUGUUUUGACGUUACCAACAGAAUAAGCACCGGCUAACUUCGUG